rnacentral:rRNA from 1 species
UCGAUAAUCUUCGGCAAUGGGCGAAAGCCUGACCGAGCAAUGCCGCGUGCGGGAUGAAGGCCCUCGGGUUGUAAACCGCUGUCAGUUGGGAGGAAGGCUCUGUGAAGAGCAGAGUUUGACCUAUCUUCAGAGGAAGUACGGGCUAAGUUCGUGCCAGCAGCCGCGGUAACACGAACCGUACGAACGUUAUUCGGAAUCAUUGGGCUUAAAGGGUGCGUAGGCGGCGCAGUAAGUCGGGUGUGAAAGCCCACGGCUCAACCGUGGUAUUGCGCCCGCUACUGCUGUGCUCGAGGGAGACAGGGGUAAGCGGCACUGAUGGUUGAGCGGUGAAAUGCGUUGAUAUCAUCAGGAACACCAGUGGCGUAAGCGGCUUACUGGGUCUCUUCUGACGCUGAGGCACGAAAGCUAGGGUAGCGAACGGGAUUAGAUACCGCCGUAGUCC